UCUAGUGCUCAAUUUUAGUAUAUAAUAACAUUGGAAUGAUACAGAGAUUAUUAAAAUGUCCCUGCACAAGGAUGGCUAGCAAAUUCACUAAGAAUUCCACACAAAA
rnacentral:snRNA from 1 species